rnacentral:ncRNA from 1 species
CGGGUUCCUCAAGGCUUUGAACCUAAGGUUGAAUUGGAUCAUUUGUCCAGCGUCCUGUGGAAAUAACCUCUGGGAAGCCAAUAGUGAAACCAGUCAUGAGGCCG